CGUGCGCCGUCGCCUAAUCCUCAGGACCCGCCUUCACCGGUGGGUCCGGGAGCCGGGGAACCACCGUUCCUUGGGGUGAAUCGACUGGGUCCCCGACCCGGUCGUAGGAGACCUUCCUGCUCCGAACCCGUCAGCUAACCCGGUAGGCGAGAAGGAAGGAAAGG
rnacentral:sRNA from 2 species